rnacentral:rRNA from 1 species
UACGAAGGGGGCUAGCGUUGCUCGGAAUUACUGGGCGUAAAGGGCGCGUAGGCGGAUAUUUAAGUUAGAGGUGAAAGCCCAGGGCUCAACCCUGGAAUAGCCUUUAAUACUGGAUAUCUUGAGUUCGGGAGAGGUGAGUGGAACUCCGAGUGUAGAGGUGAAAUUCGUAGAUAUUCGGAAGAACACCAGUGGCGAAGGCGGCUCACUGGCCCGUUACCGACGCUCAGGCGCGACAGCGUGGGGAGCAAACAGG